AAUGAACGUUGGCGGCGUGGAUUAGGCAUGCAAGUCGUACGAGAAUCGUAGCAAUACGAGGAAAGUGGCGGAAGGGAGAGGAUUACGUGGGAAUCUACCCUCAGAACUGGGAUAGCGGCGGGAAACUGCCGGUAAUACCAGAUAAUGUCUGUGGACCAAAGGUGUGAUUCCGUCUGGGGAUGAGCCCACGUCCUAUUAGCUAGUUGGCAGGGUAAUGGCCUACCAAGGCAAUGAUGGGUAGCGGGUGUGAGAGCAUGACCCGCCUCACUGGGACUGAGAACUGCCCAGACACCUACGGGUGGCUGCAGUCGAGAAUCUUCGGCAAUGAGCGCAAGCUUGACCGAGCGACGCCGCGUGCGGGAUGAAGGCCUUCGGGUUGUAAACCGCUGUCGUAGGGGAACAAGAGAUGAGGGUACUCCCUCUGAUUUGAGCGAUCCUAGGAGGAAGGACGGGCUAAGUUCGUGCCAGCCGCCGCUGUAACAC
rnacentral:rRNA from 1 species